rnacentral:rRNA from 1 species
GACGAACCGUCCAAGCGUUAUUCGGAAUUACUGGGCUUAAAGGGUGCGUAGGCGGCGCGGAAAGUUGGGUGUGAAAUCCCUCGGCUCAACCGAGGAACUGCGCCCAAUACUACCGUGCUUGAGGGAGAUAGAGGUGAGCGGAACUUAGGGUGGAGCGGUGAAAUGCGUUGAUAUCCUAAGGAACACCGGUGGCGAAAGCGGCUCACUGGAUCUCUUCUGACGCUGAGGCACGAAAGCUAGGGUAGCGAACGGG